AGAUAUGAUAUAAGAUAUGCAACAAUAAAUUAGACAAAAUGCAUAAUAGUACAGAUAAAAAAACUAUACGUUUACAUGCAUUUGUUUUGAAUGGGGGAAGUAGUGGUUCAAAAAAAUUAUCUUGUACAUUCACAUGAUUUUUGAUCAUCUCUUUGCAUAUAUUAAGACGGUAACAUGUUGAAACAGUAACUUUAGUGCUUUAAACGCAUGCAUGAGCGCACGCAGGGCGGUUAAGUAAGAGCAGCAUGUCGGCGGGGCUCUUUGCUGCAUUAGAUGCAAUUAUAAAUGGCCGAGCGCAGGAGAUGAAGCAGCCAAUCAGAUUUGAGCUCGCAUGUCAACCUAAGACCAACUGUCUCCUGCCUUUGACAGAAGGAUUUUACCUCCAUAAUUCAAAUCCCAAAGCAAAGCAGCUCGCCGCACUUACUCGCAUCACUCAGCUUUGUUGACACACACAUGCGCGAGCAAAAGCCCUCUAAAAAUACUUCUAAACUACACGUAUUUCGAUCAAACUGACCGUUCACUGUUACUAAAGACUCUUUUCUGCCCUUAGGAAGAUAAAAUAUUCGGGUUGAGGUGAUGUUUGUAAAAUCGACUUGAGAGAAUGUUCUGGUCCACCUUAGCGAUAGCGUCAAAGUAUAAUAACGAAUCAAACCCAACUAACAUCCUAAACGGUUUAAACUUUGGAUGUAACUUUGAAACGCACAUAUUGUCACAUUGUGCAGAGGUAACGUAAUAUCUCAAAAUCACAAACCUGGGCCGUCUGAGAAGCGUUUGUGCUGGUGUUUAGCACGAGCCCUGUCUCGAAAAUUAGCAUUAGGUUUUAAUUUCCACAUGCUAACUCAUGCUCCCAUCACCCCUAUCCACAGUCUGGACGUGGGUUCUGCACAACUAGCUCAAAGUGAGGAUUAAACGAGAGAGAGGGAUGGAAAAGGAAAGAGGAUGGGGGAUGGACCGAGAACAGGAAGUGAAAAUGAAAAAAGUGAAAUGCAGCGCAAGCCGGAGAGAAAGAAAAAAUGCGUAGGCCGCAGCAAUCAAAUCUGGCACACCAAAUCCAACAGAAAAGCAUGUAUUUGGCUUGGUGAAGAAAUACUGCGGCUGGCUCUGUGCUUGCAAAAGCAGCAGAACUUUGCUAUCUGACUGUGGGGGAUGGGCGCGCAGAGUGCCUCUCAUUCUCUCUACAAUGCAAAACAUGCGCCUGCAAACGGCGCCAACCAACCUGACCUAAGUAGGGGCUUAGGAACACCCCAUAUUUAAAGUUUUUUACUGCUACAAAAUUAAAAUAGACAUACAAUGUCUCUAUGAAUGUGUUUAUGUGUGCGUUUAGUAUGUGUGUUUGUGUGUUGAGGUGGGGGAGUUGACUAUAUCAGCAGAACUGAGAGGGUUGUUCGGGUAAAAUGUAGACAGGCAGGCAGAUGGGGGGGGGGGGCUGUGAGCUCUCUCUCACAGUUUUUGCAUUAAAAUUCAAUUUUAUGUUGAAAUGCAAUAUGUCAACCGUAACUCUACCUAUUUAUUGUUAAUGUUAGGCUUUAAUAAGUGUGAUAUUAACAAGCUGUGAAUAAGUCUGUAACAUAAUUUAGGUUUGCA